UGUCCUACAAGAUGCCUUUAUCUGUUCCCAGCAUGCCAUAUUUUGGUCUGGAUUUAUCUUCACUUAUUUUCAAGGACUUUCUAUGACUAUAGGGACAGCCUAAGGCAACCAAGUUCACCAUGUAGGGAGCCAGCUGAGAGUGUGCAUCUGAACUCUUUCCUUAGUCUACUUUCUUUCCUCCUGGUCAGGGAUGUGUUUGAAAUGAGACAAAGGUGGGAAAAGAGCUGGCAGGGUUGCAAGAAGAGACAUUUUCUCUCACUAGCUGAAUGGCUUUUACACCUGCUUCACAUUCAAGGGCAAGAGUAAAUAUGAGUGGAAUUGAAAGUCAUCCCUCAGCAGGUCCCUGUAUUUCCUGUAUCUCAUGUCUAUUUUUAACAAGACGCAAAACAGUUGAUGUAAGAUCAAGCAGAAAUAGUCAGUGUUACCCCAGAUAAUCAAAUAAAACCAGGAGAAGGUCUAGUAUUCAUUAGACAUUUUGUUAUCUUCCAACUGUAUGAAGUGCUUUCUUUGGGGAAUAACUUCAGAGGCUGGAUUUUCAUGGUUCGCUAACUGUAAUAAAUAAAUCUGAAUAAAUCCAAACUUCAGUGCCAAGGACUGAAUCAAACCCUCUUAUUUUUAUAGUGAAAAUAUCCUGGCAUUAAAAGGCUUAGCAUGUUGGGCUGUUCUGUUUAACAAUGAGAUGAAAAAAUGGUGCAGAUGACUGUAGUGGCAACUGAAAAAUACUAGAACUCUUUAGGUUUUCUUAAGGAGGUGGUUUGAAGUUGCAUGGUCAGACUUUUUCUUCUCAUGACUAAUCCACUCUCCUGUGACCUAUCUUUAGUUUGAUAUUGAAUCAGGAACAAGAACUGGAGCUUCAGCUGACCCCAAACAUUUAGUUACAUUAAUCACAGGGCAUUUUUGGACUCUGAGCAUACUGAAUGAAAGACACUUUCUUUGCAAGACAUUGAUCAAACAGUCUAUAGGUAUCACUACAUCGAGGCACAUUAAUCAUCUGGUGCAUUAUCAGUUCCACCAGGAGAAUAUGUAAAUGUGAUUCCUGUCAAUGAUAAGGGAAAGCAGAAUUUAUUUUUAAAAGUGGUCCUUCUGGAACUGUUGAUAUAAUCUUACCUAAGACAAUAGGUUGUAAAGAUACAUUUCAGCAGAACUGCCAAUGAACAUAAAGAACAAGCAAAUUAAAGCUACAAAAAAAAAAAAAGAAAAAGAAAAAGAUAGUGGCUAUACUUCACUCACUUGCAGAAAUUGCUGUUCCACAACAUUGUGGAGACUUUUUCUGCUUAAUAAAACAGGGCAGUUUUCUGAAAACUCUUAUAAUUGUUUUGUAACCACAAAAAGCUUUAUUUAAGAGUGAUGCUAUUCUCUUCUAUGCUCCAGUGCUCUUGCCCUAGAAUACACCUGUGAUACACUUGCCUCGUGGCUGAGGAUGUGAUGCUCAUACUGACUGUGAAACUCUGAGGCAAUGCCUCACCUUCACAGAUGGCUCACCUUCACUCAUAUUAAUGGGGCUGCCUGGCUGAGGCUUGCAAUGUGCAUCUUGCUGAAAGCAUUUUUGCAUAGAUCUUCUUAUAUAAUUGAUCAAUUUAUUCUAUUUUUACUUUUUUCUUUCUUCCUUACUUUUAAACCUAUGCCAAAUUAGUACCUGCAAAUAUUCAUUCUGUCAGUGUUGGGGGUGUGAGGACACAUUUCAGGCAAAAGUAUUUUUUGAAGUCAUAUCUGAGAGAAUUAGAGACCUAGGGCAGGGAAAUUAGUAGAGAUUAAAUAUAUAAAAUGGUCAUAUAAUUUCUUCUUCUUGUCUCCUUAGUGUUCUUUUCUACUUUCCUGCAUCUUUGGACCACAAAAGUGGAACAAGGAGUCCUUUGGGAAGGCAGGAGGACUUGUCUGUAAAGGAGUUCUAAUGAUGAGCAGACUCGUUUACUGCAACAGCACUGCUUCUAUUCUUACCGAUAUUAGAGAAAGGCAUGCAAGGAUUGCCUUCUUUUCAAUACAUCUAAAUAAGAGGUGUCCAGCUGGUUUGUGGCAAUGGAAUAGUAAUGACAGCAGGAUGGUAAUUUCAUCUUGAGCUUUACAAGCAAGAGGAGGUGCCAAGAAGGAAACCAGGUCUGAGGGUUCUCUGGAAUGAUCUCAGGCCAUUGUACAGCAACAGCUCUGAGUGGCCACAUAGGUCUGCAUUUGAACCCCUGACCCAGGAACAAAAUAAAUUACGUGAAGACUGAAGUAUGGAUAUGGGACAAUUCCAGUUUCUCACGUUUCAAAGGAAUAAAUGGUGACUGUAGACAGUGGCUGCUCUUCUCUUCCCAUCUCACCUAUGGAUUUUCCUGAGCAGCCGUCUUUCAGAUGCACGGCACAUUCUGGAAAUCAGCUCAAGUGUGACAUUUUGGGGAGAACCUUUAUCAUUGACUUCAGGCAGAAAAAUCACACCCUGGUAGAGGACAACAGUGCUAGCAGGUCUGUUCCCACCAAAAGGCUGAUGGCACUUGCAUGGUGCAGAAACAUUUUGAAUUUUCUCUCCACUUCUUGAGAGAAUUAUUAGAUUGGCUAGUUUGGUAAAUUCAGGCAGACUGCUUGGUCUUUCAGUGCACAAAAGUUGUACAAAGGACCAUUUAUAUAUAUAUAUAUAUGUAUGUAUAGAAUGGAUAUGCACUGGUACAGGGUGCCCAGAGAAGCGGUGGCUGUCCCAUCCCUGGAAGUGUCCAAGGUCAGGUUGGAUGGGGCUUUGAGCAACCUGGAAUAGUGGGAGCUGUCCAUGGCAGGGGUUUGGGACCAAGUGAUCUUUAAGGUCCCUUCCAAGCCAGGCCAUUCAGUGAUUGUGUGGCUCUAGGGCUGGACAUGGUGUGCUGAUGGUGUUGGCAGCACGUCCUGGUAUGGGUGAGCACCCGGGAGCUGCUGCCCCCAGGGCCAGCAGCUCACCCUCUCACCCUCUGUGUGACUCCAGCCACGUGCUCUGCCUCCAGCUCAGCACUGAGCUCUACAGGCCCCUCUCUGAGGAGAUGAGAAGAGAAAAAUCAGUGUCAAGACUGCUACUCAUCCUGCAGAGCUUCUGCUGGGGUUGCAGGGAAGGGCUGAAAUCAGCUGGCUGGAGGGACACCAUCCCAUGCCUAUCAAUCAGAUGGUGAAGGAAAACUACAUGGGCUUUGCACUCACCCAAAUGUCUUUCAGUUAAAAAGACCAAAUGUGAUAUGACUGCUCCUCAAGCCCCUUUGAUAUUUAAGGAGUGAUAAAUUAAGUUUUGUUUCAGCUGAGAUCUAGCAUGCCUCCAUAUGUCAGUUUGCUUCAGAAGUAGGCAGCAUUUCUAUGUUUUUGAGUUAGAAAUCUCUGUUUAUAAUAAAACAAACAUACAGCUCCAGGAGUAUAAUAUCCUUUGAGUGGAGUGGUUUCAAAGAGUUUUACAACCCAUCUGGAAGACUGACUCCAACUUUUAGGCCUGUUCUUUGAGAAAAUGCCUUAUUUACACAGCUAGUAGUAUGAUUCUGGCAUUGCAAGCCAGAGGAAUGAAAUUUGGAAAGCCAGGCCUGCUGCACCAUAAAACAGAGACACGGAGUUCACUGAGAAAGUGAAAAGGAACAGUCGUUAAAAAACCCCCAAGUUUCAUUUUCUUUGUGUAAAAGUUCUGUCUGCUGGGAAUGAGCCUGCCUCUCCCAGCACCAGCUCGCCUCUUGGAAGAGCAUAAGUCAUCUGUACUACAGAGCAAUUAAUUCUAAUUUCUUAUGCAUGUCUCUCUUUGUUGCUGUUGCCAUUAACACAUAUUAAGAUUAUAAAUUACAUAUAUAAUGAUUUCCAUUAAUAUCCUAAUUUCUAGGUGUAUAAUUAAAACUUUGUACAAGUAUUUUUCAGGAAGAGUCAAUGAAAUGAGAGGUUUUAUGUCAAAAGUGUUUCAAAAAAGUAGCUUAGCAAAGUUGAUCAUAUAAGUAUGCCAUUGGAAUGGUGGAAGAGCUGUGUCCAGGAACAGGUUUUUUAAAAAAAGGACAACCUCUUCUCCAAAAACACACAAUUUACCCCAUGGAAGAGUCCAUCAUCAUCACAGUGUCAAACAGAAUGUGACACAAGGGUGCCCGGACCAAAACUUCAGCUCAGAAAAAGUACUUUUUUUUCUAAAGAAAGUUUGGAAGAGUGAAAAUUCACACAUGGAAAACAAAUGAGCAUCGGGAAACACUCCUCAUAGCUAAUGGCUACUUGAUUCUGCCAUUUAUGGGUGCUUGGGUUGAGGAGCAAUGGCACAGGAGGGCUGCAGGGGCAAUGAGCCUAUUUAACAUACAACACAUGACCCCCUGAGCUGGAGUGCACGUGCAAACCCGGCAGAGUCCAGCCAGCUCAUUCC